AGUAAAGUCAGCUAAGCAAGCUUUCGGGCCCAUACCCCAAACACGUUGGUUAAAACCCUUCCUUUACUA
rnacentral:tRNA from 1 species